UACAGAGGGUGCGAGCGUUAAUCGGAUUUACUGGGCGUAAAGCGUGCGUAGGUGGUCUUUUAAGUCGGAUGUAAAAUCCCUGAGCUUAACUUAGGAAUUGCAUUCGAUACUGGGAAGCUAGAGUAUGGGAAGAGGAUGGUAGAAUUCCAGGUGUAGCGGUGAAAUGCGUAGAGAUCUGGAGGAAUACCGAUGGCGAAGGCAGCCAUCUGGCCUAAUACUGACGCUGAGGUACGAAAGCAUGGGGAGCAAACAGG
rnacentral:rRNA from 1 species